UGAAUAUUCUUCUCCUGCCCUAUUGUAUUCUUUAGAAUAUCAAUCAUUGUUUGUCCAUAAUAUACAUAGUUGGUGAAUUUUAACUGGUUUUUAAGUGUCAAACAAAUCUUUGUGUACUAAAUGUUUACAAAUGUCAAUCGUUGCAACUGACUUAAAUUGCAAUCUGCUUAGGUGCUGCAUGAAUCCUAUCCAGUCACUUGAAAAAAUAUAUAUAUUUUAAAACACAGCGUAGAUUUACAGAGUGAACAAUGCUUAUUCCCCCCCCCCCCAAUCUAAAAUUGCAUCACUAGCAUUUUUGUAAUGACCUUCUAUAAUUGUUAUAGUUGUUUUAAUUUGACAAGAUUAAAGAGGAGCUGUCUCUUCACCAGGAUUUUAGUAUUGUGCUGCUUAUCUCCUGCAUCUUGCAAGUUUAUGAUUGUGAGGUCUGCAAAAUAAAAUUAAAUAGAGCAAGUAACUCAAGACCACUCAAUUUUGGAACGGAUUGCCUCCAUCUUGCCCCUGUCAGUCAUUGUUAUAGGUUCCGCACUUUGUAUCUGUCAAUCAGCAGAGAGAGAGCUUAUAGAACACUCUCCUAGUGCAAUGUCUACCUGUUCAGGGCUCGAACUGCUGAAUCUUUAGUAUGCAUGAUUGGGGGAAAAACCAAAGGGAUCACACAAAAGUUUAAGAAAACUUAAUAAUUGUAAUCAUUUUCAACGUUUUUAUACAACAGUAUAAUUUCCACGGAAGUAACUGUUCCUCUUUCAAUGUGCUGUGCUUCUAUCUUUGACCGUCAUCACAGAGAGUCUGAUUUGCUAAGUUUGACAUUCUUUGUGACCGUCACUGAAAACAUCAUAGAGAGGUGCUUUAAGCUUUCAUAAAGAAUGUAACUCUAUGGUAUAUUGUUUUUACUGUCAGUUAUACCAGGGACAUAUUUCUCCAGCUCCCUAAUAUGUACAAAGUAGCACUGCAGAACAGACUAGAAAAAUAAUUUCUGCUAACAUCAUUAAGAAAAGAUAGAUGCACAUAAAAUUACAUGUUUAUUUAAGAAUUGUAAAAUUAAUUAACAUUGCUCUCUCUAUAAUUAACUUGCACCCAAAAGGAAAUAAAUUGUACAUUUGAAAGCUCUGAAAACCGUUUAUGUAAUAGAUUUUUAUGCAAGAUAAAAUACUGUAUUUUCUUUAUUCUAUAUUUUGAUAUGAGAGAGUCAUCGUCCACCGACAACCCGCAACUACUAUGAAUGGAGCACAUUUGAUAGGAACAAAAAUAGAGGGGUGGAAUGAGAUUGUAAACAAAUAGAUGUAUAUAUAAAAAAUAUGUAAAUGUAUGAAUUAUAAACUACUUUGUUGAAUAAUUGUAUUUUUUUGAAGAAUUCUGAAAGAUUAUUAACGAAGGAUGCUGCCAGCUUGUUGACCUACUUGAUGAGCGUUUAUGAACCGCAUUGUUUUUUGGUUCACUUGCUAACCUGCUGCAGUUCAUGCAGACAUUCUGUAAUGUUGAACCUGUGUAAACAUAAAACUUUUUUUUUCGCAAAUUACAUAUGCGUUGUUAAUUACUUCCCACUUUAUAGAUUCUUUUCUUAACCUGUUCCUUAUUAAAGCAGCACUAUCAUG
rnacentral:lncRNA from 1 species